ensembl:lncRNA
AUUUGACUCAGAGAUCGAAACAAAUUGUAUUUCUUUGAAAAGAUGGGCCUGGCUGACACAAAAAUACAUUAGGGGAAAGGAUCCACAGAAACAGAGGCUGUUUAUCUUUCUGCACAUCUCUUUAUUUACAAUGCUGGCUGUCAUGGUUAACAAAAACGCAGGACAUUGAAUGAUACCUGAAUUGACUCAGAAAGGUAACAUAAGUAGGCCAGUAGUAUCACAGCGAGGUCAAACAAGUGUGUGUGUUUGUGUCAGAUUAUCCAGUGUCCACAGCAACAUCAUUGAUUAUUCUCUACUGUGAUGUGUACUAUUGUUUUAGCCAUGCUCUCACUAACACUCAUCUUUUCUCUUUCUCCCCUUACGGAGACUCUUGGACCGUAACUGAGAACACCCUGGCCUGAUUCCUAGACGUGCCUGGGCCAAUCACACCUGGCCUCCUUCUACCUGCCUGUUGGUGUCCUGAUUCCUAGACGUGCCUGGGCCAAUUUCACCUGGCCUCCUUCUACCUGCCUGUUGGUGUCCUGAUUCCUAGACGUCCCUGGGCCAAUCUCACCUGGCCUCCUUCUACCUGCCUGUUGGUGUCCUGAUUCCUAGAUGUGCCUGGGCCAAUCCCACCUGGCCUCCUUCUACCUGCCUGUUGGUGUCCUGAUUCCUAGAUGUGCCUGGGCCAAUCUCACCUGGCCUCCUUCUACCUGCUUGUUGCUGCCUCCACUGGUUCUUUCUCCCCCAUCAAACUCUUGGACCGUAACUGAGGACACCCUGGCCUGAUUCCUAGACGUGCCUGGCCCAAUCCCACCUGGCCUCCUUCUACCUGCCUGUUGGUGGCCUGAUUCCUAGACGUGCCUGGGCCAAUCCCACCUGGCCUCCUUCUACCUGCCUGUUGGUGUCCUGAUUCCUAGACGUGCCUGGGCCAAUCCCACCUGGCCUCCUUCUACCUGCCUGUUGGUGUCCUGAUUCCUAGACGUGCCUGGGUCAAUCUCACCUGGCCUCCUUCUACCUGCCUGUUGGUGUCCUGAUUCCUAGACGUGCCUGGGCCAAUCCCACCUGGCCUCCGUCUACCUGCCUGUUGGUGUCCUGAUUCCUAGACGUGCCUGGGUCAAUCUCACCUGGUCUCCUUCUACCUGCCUGUUGGUGGCCUGAUUCCUAGACGUGCCAGUGCCAAAUUUCUCCUGGCCUCCUUCUACCUGCCUGUUGGUGGCCUGAUUCCUAGACGUGCCUGGGCCAAUCUCACCUGGCCUCCUUCUACCUGCCUGUUGGUGGCCUGAUUCCUAGAUGUGCCUGGGCCAAUCCCACCUGGCCCCCUUCUACCUGCUGCCUCCACUGGUUCUUUCUCCCCCUCAAGUCAAAUGAAAGCCCUCAUCGUUUCUCUGUGUCCUCUUCCAGAGGGCCUGAGGCUCUAGGACCACGACUGAGGCUUGACACCUGGACGUGUUGUUUUACUGUUCCAUGGUACAUGGCAUAGAUGUGUCUAUACUCUGGGGCGACUUUACUCUUAAGAUGGCUGUUUUUACAUCUGUAGGACAAUUGCUGAAAUAUAAGAUAUUGCAUUCGUAGGUAGGAUACAUUAUUCAAAAUUGUAGGCAAAAUGAUUAACAUAUUUUUUUAAGGAGUGUGUUUGUCUGAUUUUGUAGAAUUCAUCACCAAAUGGAUUCACUGCUCUACUGUGAAGUUGUCACGUACCACUCCAUACCAUCGCAGGUAAUGACAAGAAAAAUGGUUUGCAAUGUAUUUCAACAGUAUUUCAUACUUACA